rnacentral:lncRNA from 1 species
CACCAUCUCUGCCACCCUCUCGAUCAUGAUCUUCGCCAUCCCCUCUGUCUCCCCAUCGUCUGCCGGCUAAAUCUCCUCUAAGCGCCGCUACUGUAUCCUGAAGGUCGACAACGGAAGACUGUAGUAUUCCAACAUCAUGGGAUAGAUCGUCAACCCUCCCUAUCAACUCUCGUCCCAUAUCGUCGACCCUCCCUGUCAGAUAGUCGACCUUCCCUGCCAGAUCGUCGACCCUCCCUGUCAACUCUCGUC